rnacentral:rRNA from 2 species
GGCGGCAUGCCUAAUACAUGCAAGUCGAACGAGCUUCCGUUGAAUGACGUGCUUGCACUGAUUUCAACAAUGAAGCGAGUGGCGAACUGGUGAGUAACACGUGGGAAAUCUGCCCAGAAGCAGGGGAUAACACUUGGAAACAGGUGCUAAUACCGUAUAACAACAAAAUCCCGCAUGGAUUUUGUUUGAAAGGUGGCUUCGGCUAUCACUUCUGGAUGAUCCCGCGGCGUAUUAGUUAGUUGGUGAGGUAAAGGCCCACCAAGACGAUGAUACGUAGCCGACCUGAGAGGGUAAUCGGCCACAUUGGGACUGAGACACGGCCCAAACUCCUACGGGAGGCAGCAGUAGGGAAUCUUCCACAAUGGACGAAAGUCUGAUGGAGCAAUGCCGCGUGAGUGAAGAAGGGUUUCGGCUCGUAAAACUCUGUUGUUAAAGAAGAACACCUUUGAGAGUAACUGUUCAAGGGUUGACGGUAUUUAACCAGAAAGCCACGGCCUAACUACGUGCCAGCAGCCGCGGUAAUACGUAGGUGGCAAGCGUUGUCCGGAUUUAUUGGGCGUAAAGCGAGCGCAGGCGGUUUUUUAAGUCUGAUGUGAAAGCCUUCGGCUUAACCGGAGAAGUGCAUCGGAAACUGGGAGACU